rnacentral:piRNA from 1 species
UAUUAGGUCAAACAUGUUUCCUCAUGGAU